CAUUCACAUCUGGUAGGAACAUAAACUAUGUAGGAUUUCUGGAGGGACUCUGGCAAUCUCCAUCAAGAAACUGAAAAAAAAAUCAUACCUUUUACCCAGUUGCUCUCUCCCGCCAUUUUAGAAGAAUCCUUUCUUCCCCUAAUGAAAUCAUACAUGGAACCCAAAUUUAAAACAGAAUUGCUUUGUUUGAAGCAGAAACAGGGGACAGGACUCCCAGCCGUUCAGCCUCACCUCUGCCUUGAAGUGUCUCCACUGAGGAUCACACCUAGAAGACCACUGGUAUCAGAAGUUCUCCACCCCGGCUGCACAUUAGAUUCACUAAAGAGCCUGAAAAUAUGUGAAGUCUUACACAUGAGGUUCUACACUACAGCUCUGUUUGUAAGAGCAGAAAACUAGAAACAGCCCAGAAAGAGCUACGCCGCAUCGCCACGAUAGAGUACCGAGCAGCUGUGAAAGGGAGCACUGGAGAUCGCUACAUAGCACGAGGGAGACAUUGCCGGGAGUCAGCGAAAAAAACUAAGUCAGUGUUUCUCCGAGUGAGGCCCCUGGACCAACAGCAUGAGCGUCAUCUGGGAACUUGUUGGAAAUAUGAAUCCUCAGACCCUACCCAGACUUACUGAAUCAGAAACUCUUGGGGUGGACCUCAACAAUCUGUGCUUUAAGAAGCCUCUGGGUGAUUCAAAUGCAUGAACCGCUGUUGCAAGUCACCUCACCUUGGACCUUGAACUCUAUGCAAUCAUGGAUGAGUCUGGUACCCUCUCACCUUUGAGAACCUGUUUACCAAGAAAGAGCCUUCACACCCACUGUCUCGCGUGUCCUGAUUCACGCUGGGCAGCCACACAGCCUGUUAGUUGCUAUCUUGUUUCCAGCCUUUUAAAAUCUACCUCAUGGAGUUUUCAUUGAGCUACAAUUCCACCUAGCAGAAGAGCAGAGGGAUAAGAGUGGAGGGAGAAACGCGACUGAGCGAGCUUCAUGAGAAAAGCGACAAAAAGGUGGAAUGAGGCAUUUGGCUAAUUUUUCCCAGCUGCUGCAGUCCCACCCCCUUCUCCCCAACUGUCUGUCUCCGUCUAUCUAUGGAUCUAUGUAUCUAUCAUCUUUCUGUCUACGUUUCUAUCUGUCUUUCUAUCUCUAGCUAUCAUCUAUUAUGUCUGUGUCUAUGUGUCUCUCUCCUUGGCAUUAUUCUAUCUUCUAACUGUCCUAGUAUCUGCCCUUCUGUCAGUCUGUCUGUCCAUCUGUGUACCUGUCUGUCUAUCUAUGUAUCUAUAUGUGUAUGUGUAUACACGUGUGUAUCUACCUAUCAUCUAACAAAGUGGAGUGGAAAGGGAGAGAAAAUA